GACGAACGCUGGCGGCGUGCUUAACACAUGCAAGUCGAACGAUGAAGCCGGAGCUUGCUCUGGUGAAUUAGUGGCGAACGGGUGAGUAACACGUGAGUAACCUGCCCUUGACUCUGGGAUAACUGCGGGAAACUGUAGCUAAUACCGGAUACGACCCUCGGAGGCAUCUCCUGGGGGUGGAAAGAAUUUCGGUCAAGGAUGGACUCGCGGCCUAUCAGCUAGUUGGUGAGGUAAAGGCUCACCAAGGCGACGAAGGGUAGCCGGUCUGAGAGGGUGAGCGGCCACACUGGGACUGAGACACGGCCCAGACUCCUACGGGAGGCAGAAGUGGGGAAUAUUGCACAAUGGGCGCAAGCCUGAUGCAGCAACGCCGCAUGAGGGAUGACGGCCUUCGGGUUGUAACCCGCUUUCAGCAGGGAAGAAGCGAAAGUGACGGUACCUGCAGAAGAAGCACCGGCUAACUACGUGCCAGCAGCCGCCGUAA
rnacentral:rRNA from 1 species